rnacentral:sRNA from 1 species
AAUAAUGCAACAUCCGUAAAAUCUGAAAAUCACGGCGUUAAAUAUAACGUGAUAAUAUUAUUUUAGGAUUAAGCUCAAUUCAAUUUCAUGUCACGAAGAAGACAAGAUGAAUUAUCUUAUAAAAAAAAGCCGAUAAUAAUAUCGGCUUUUUUUAUA